UAAGGAAUAUUGGACAAUGGACGCAAGUCUGAUCCAGCCAUGCCGCGUGAAGGAUGACUGCCCUCUGGGUUGUAAACUUCUUUUAUAGGGGAAGAAAGUUAUUUUUUAGGAUAUUUGACGGUACCCUAUGAAUAAGCACCGGCUAACUCCGUGCCAGCAGCCGCGGUAAUACGGAGGGUGCAAGCGUUAUCCGGAUUCACUGGGUUUAAAGGGUGCGUAGGCGGGUAUGUAAGUCAGUGGUGAAAUACCGGAGCUUAACUUCGGAACUGCCAUUGAUACUAUAUAUCUUGAAUAUUGUGGAGGUAAGCGGAAUAUGUCAUGUAGCGGUGAAAUGCUUAGAGAUGACAUAGAACACCGAUUGCGAAGGCAGCUUGCUACGCAAAUAUUGACGCUGAGGCACGAAAGCGUGGGGAUCAAACAGGAUUAGAUACCCUGGUAGUCCACGCCCUAAACGAUGAUUACUCGACAUUAGCGAUACACAGUUAGUGUCUGAGCGAAAGCAUUAAGUAAUCCACCUGGGAAGUACGACCGCAAGGUUGAAACUCAAAUGAAUUGACGGGGUCAUAGCUGUUUUCCU
rnacentral:rRNA from 1 species